GGAGUAGAUUUUUUCCCCCUGUAGUUUGAGUGAGUGGAUGUUUGCCUGAUGCUCUGUCGAUUCAUUUUCUCUUAAUAUCUUUAUAAAUUUAUAACUGGCAGUUUCUAUGAUAAGAUCUGAAGAUUUGAAUUUCUAUUUGAAAACUGUCCUUCACCGUAGGAUAUUGGUUAUGAUUGAAGGUAGUACUGUUUUUAAUCUAAUUGUUAUAGAUAGAUUCUAUAACCUGUCCAUCAACUUCUCUUGUUUUCUUUGGGAUGUAAUGUAUGUAUGAUGUGAGCAGGAGAAUGUUAGUGAGAGUAAGAAUGAUGAUUCAAAAAGUGAAGAGGUUGCUAAAGGCGCAGAUGCUUCAGAGGUUGAUGCUGAUACACCCAACAUGAAGCCAGGCAUCGACCAUUUUAACUAUGAGGAAACUGAUCCUAUUAAAUCUAGCGCCUUGAGAAGUUCACUUUGGGAAAUUGAUAGUCUUCGACACCAUUAUUGUCCUUCUGUUUCAAGGUUAGUUUUGUCCCUUGAGAAUGAUCUGACUGUGAGAUAAAAAACAAAUGAAAUCGAUGUUAAAGAUUUUGUUGCCGGUUCAUACUCUACAAUACUCGGGCAGGAGGUAAGUUUCACUGGUUCGGUAAUUUUGCUAUAAUUAGUUAGCUAUUUUAUAUAUUCUUGUAAGGUUAUAUUUUGUCCUUUUUGAAACUGUAAUGGUUAAGAUUAUCGACUAUUAUUCCAUAGAAAGAGUGGAUGUUUUCUCUUUUGUUCGGGAUGAAUCUCCUAGCUAUUUACGACCUUUGAUAUCAUCUCUAAAAUCCAUAUGUUGCAUCACUUCCCUAACAAAGAAUAAAAAUUAGAUAAAAUAAAAUUCAAAUGUUCUUUUUGUUCUGAAUGGUGUUCUUGGUUGCAGUUGAAAAAGAAACUGAAGCAAGUCCCUCUGGCAUUCUACCAAGCACCCCCCACCACCUUGUUCUCGGAGUCUGAUUUCGUUGGCUGGAGUUUCGAUCACAAACACAGUGAGAAGAAUA